CAGCAGUGGGGGAAUUUUGGACAAUGGGCGCAAGUCUUUUUCUCUUCCUCGGAGAUGACCGAGUGAGUGAAGAAGGCCUUCGGGUUGUAAAGCUCUUUCGCAAGGGAAGAAAGGCCAUUCCCUUUCUAUUUCUUUCUUAGUACGUACCUGAUAAGAAGCACCGGGCAAACCUUAACCUGUG
rnacentral:rRNA from 1 species